GCCAGUGUGGCAUAGUGGUUUGAGUAUUGGACUAUAACACUGGAGACAGGGUUCAAUUCCCAGCUUGGUCA